UACAGAGGUCUCAAGCGUUGUUCGGAUUCAUUGGGCGUAAAGGGUGUGUAGGUGGCGCCGUAAGUCGGGUGUGAAAUUUCGGAGCUUAACUCCGAAACUGCAUUCGAUACUGCGGUGCUUGAGGACUGGAGAGGAGACUGGAAUUCAUGGUGUAGCGGUGAAAUGCGUAGAGAUCAUGAGGAAGACCAGUGGCGAAGGCGGGUCUCUGGACAGUUCCUGACACUGAGGCGCGAAGGCGUGGGGAGCAAACAGG
rnacentral:rRNA from 1 species